rnacentral:rRNA from 1 species
AGUGAACGCUGGCGGUAUGCCUAACACAUGCAAGUCGUACGAGAGUUUUUAACUCUAGUGGCGGACGGGUGAGUAACACGUGAGAAUUUGCCUUUAGGAGGGGGACAACAAUUGGAAACGAAUGCUAAUACCCCAUAUGCUUUCGAGUGAAAUGGAUUUUAUCCGCCUAGAGAGAAGCUCGCGGCUGAUUAGCUUGUUGGUAAGGUAAGAGCUUACCAAGGCGACGAUCAGUAUCUGGUUUGAGAGGACGAUCAGACACACUGGAACUGAGACACGGUCCAGACUCCUACGGGAGGCAGCAGUGGGGAAUUUUCCGCAAUGGGCGAAAGCCUGACGGAGCAAUACCGCGUGAGGGAAGAAUGCCUAUGGGUUGUAAACCUCUUUUCAGGGAGGAAUAAAAUGACGUGUACCUGAAGAAUAAGCAUCGGCUAACUCCGUG